rnacentral:rRNA from 1 species
GACAGAGGGUGCAAACGUUGUUCGGAAUUACUGGGCGUAAAGGGAGCGUAGGCGGGUUAUCAAGUUGGAGGUGAAAGCCCAGGGCUCAACCUUGGAAUUGCCUUCAAAACUGAUAGCCUAGAGUAUGAUAGAGGUAUGUGGAACUCCGAGUGUAGAGGUGAAAUUCGUAGAUAUUCGGAAGAACACCAGUGGCGAAGGCGACAUACUGGGUCAUGACUGACGCUGAGGCUCGAAAGCGUGGGGAGCAAACAGG